rnacentral:sRNA from 1 species
GCGCACAGCAUGAACACCAAUGGCUCGGCUCCAGCACCACCCGCGACCACACCAGCGGCGCGUCGGCUGGUGUUUUCUGUAAGCAG